UACGUAGGGGGCAAGCGUUGUCCGGAUUUAUUGGGCGUAAAGCGCGUGUAGGCGGCUUGGUAAGUCUGCUCUGAAAGCCCGGGGCUCAAACCCGGGAGGCGGGUGGAUACUGUCAAGCUCGAGUCCGGAAGAGGAGUGUGGAAUUCCUGGUGUAGCGGUGAAAUGCGCAGAUAUCAGGAGGAACACCGGUGGCGAAGGCGGUUCUCUGGGCAUGUCCUGACGCUGAGGAGCGAAAGUGUGGGGAGCGAACAGG
rnacentral:rRNA from 1 species